GGAUGAAGUUUAAGGAUCAGAACACUCAGGAAAGAGCUGAGCUGCUCUGAAUAAGAAAAGGAGGGCAGAGAGAGUAGGAGUGUACAGGUGGGAGGAGCAGGGAAGCAGGAACAGGUAAGUGGGGGAGAAUGGAAGGAUGGCAGGGACGGGAAGACCAUGAUCAGGAACUUUUGGAAGGGACCGAUGUCCAGUCAGGAUCUUCAUUAAGCUCUGCUGUGUGGAGUGGGAAAACAAUUCUCUUCCCCGUCUCUCCGUGAAUUCUAGUGCUUUGAUGACUUGUUUAUGGCCAGGGUGAGAACACAUACUCUGCAGAGGCCCCUGUCAAUGUGGGUACAGGAGCAGAAACGGAUAAGAGUUUAAGCAGAGGAGUGACAGGAUCAGGAUGCUUUCUAGAAGCAUCACUGUGAACGCAGGCAGGAGAAUGGACUGGGGAAGAAUAUCAAUAGCAGAGAGAGGGCUGCGAAGCAACAGUCUAGGUGAAAAGUGAGGGUAACCAAAAAGAACACACUGGAGACAGACAAAGUCAAUGGAUUUGAGAACUGUUGAUGUGGAGAGUUUUAAAGAUUUUUUUUCCUUUUUCUCCCCAAAGCCCCCCAGUACAUAGUUGUAUAUUCUUCGUUGUGGGUCCUGAUGUGUAGAGUUUUGACCAGAUUUGGUUUCUUCCGGAUGCAGAAGACGAGGAGAGAUAAGGGCCAGUAAGUGACAGGUUUCAAGCUUAGGUAACUUGGAUCAGUUUGGAAUCGGUUGGAUCUGGGAUGCCAGCAAGACAUCAAAGUGGAAAUGUCCAGCUGGCAUCUGAAUACAAAGCAUGGAGCUUAGAGAUGGACGGACAGAACCUGCAAAGAGCAACAAGGAGAAAACCCAGAGGGGCGGGACAGGGUCUUGGAGGCCAGAGAGGACAGUACAUCAAACACUGUCACUGCUGAGAGGUCAUGGAAGAUAAGAAUCCAAAUACAUCUGACAAAUGUGGUAACAGAAGGACAGGAAGGCAACACCAGCUCUGUUUGGCCAGAACAGCAUCCGUUUGGUCACAUGUGCAACAGCCAGACUGGUGUAGCCCAAGAAGGAGGCAGGAGUGAGGAAACGGAGGCAGCAAAUAGAGACAAUUUUCCCAAGAACUUUGGCCCUGGCAGGAGAAUUGAAUGGAGAAGUAACCGAAAGGCAAGGUAAUACUGAAGGCCUGUGGGUUUGUUUUUUUUUAAUUGUUAUGACUUGAGUAGGUUUAAAUGCUCCUAGGAAAGAGUCAGUAGCAAAAGAUGGAUAUAAGGUCAGAGAGAGAAAGUCUCUGAGAAGGUGCGAGAGGAUGGGAACAGGAUCCAGAGCUGUGAACACAAGGAAGGACUCCUCUUCCACUGAAACAGGAGGCAAGGAAAACAAGACAGGUGCAGAUGAAGUGUGUUGAUUUGGGGCAAGAACCUAAGUGAGUUCACAUUUUGGCUUCUGUUUUCUCUGUGACACAGGAGGGGCGGCCAGCUACAGAAAAUGAGAAGUGAGGGAUGGCAGGGAGCAACCACCACACAGUAGAAAGUUACCCUGUGAAAUGCGUUUCUCCCAUUCGCCAAAGCAUCAGAGCCACAUGCCAGCACUCCGUGCAUCUGUGGCUUUAACCACACAACACUGAGAACAUUAACAAAAACUCCACAGCACUCAGCAGACCUCACGAGCAGCCUCAUCUUCAAUACAGCAAGAUCAGGGCAUGCAUCUCCCGAGAGGAGCGCAAAAGAAAAGGCUUUAAUUCUUCAUCCUUUUGGGAGAGAAUGGGAAUCAACAGUCAAACUUGACCAAUUCAACCAACUGGGGAGUCUCCUAUGAACAGUGAAGGGAUUUGUCUCAUAGGAUAUUGUAACAUACGUUUGCUUUUUAAUUUCUUGUUUUAAAAAAAAUUCCUUUUUUGUGUGUGUUCUUACUGUAAAAGCAAUAUAAUAUUCCGAUGGGCCAACAGUUGCACAGUGCUCACCAUGAUCACCCAGGCAUGGUCUAUGCCUUUCGCCUCCUUUAAACUUGAGGCAGGCACUCUGAUUCUCCCGGGUGGAGGGGGACGCACAGAGGGGCUCACUUCUGUCCCUGUGGGGACCAGCAGAGUCGGUGUCUGAACCCGGGCAGUCCAGCAUCAGACAGAGCAGUGUGCCCAGCCA
ensembl:lncRNA